GACAGCAGUCGCCGCGGGAAUACAGAGGGUGCGAGCGUUAAUCGGAUUUACUGGGCGUAAAGCGUGCGUAGGCGGCUUCUUAAGUCGGAUGUGAAAUCCCUGAGCUUAACUUAGGAAUUGCAUUCGAUACUGGGAAGCUAGAGUAUGGGAGAGGAUGGUAGAAUUCCAGGUGUAGCGGUGAAAUGCGUAGAGAUCUGGAGGAAUACCGAUGGCGAAGGCAGCCAUCUGGCCUAAUACUGACGCUGAGGUACGAAAGCAUGGGGAGCAAACAGGAUUAGAUACCCCCGUAGUCCCUGUCUCUUAUAA
rnacentral:rRNA from 1 species